UUUAGGACUGCUCUCAAAUAAUUGAAAUGUUACUAAACAAGGUUAUACUUAUCAAAUUAAAUAGCUCUGGUCUCCAGUAUAUUGGCGAAUUCAGUUCUUUGUACUUAAUUUAUUAGCAUGAUUUCUUUUUAAUAUGUUGUGUACAGACUUAAUUACUUCUCUGUCUACUUUUCUUACUCCAUGUAGGUUUCCCAGAGACUAUGGGUUGAGGAGGAAUUGGAAGUUUGUCGGCUUAGACCUGGUGUCAUUCCAUCAGUGUUAAACUUCCCGGCUCAUCUUGGAAGAGUACGUGCCAGAAAGACCACGACCAAGCAGCCUUGAGAUCUUAGGCAGCGUCUCCCUGAGGUCCCUCUCUAUCUCCCCACACAUCCACCAACCACUGGAACACAUCUCCAAAGUUCUGCUGGACCAGCUCAGCUUCCCCUCAGAAGAAGUUCCACCACCUGCCAGAUGAAGGAGCCUUUUGAGAGGCAGCUGGCAUCGUGAUUGGACUGUACUUUGGUCUGUUCCAGUCCAGCUUCAGCUCCAGAGACGGCAGGCGGGACGAGUCAACGGAGGCCGGAUGGACGAAGGCAUGCAGCUGAGUACAAUCCAGAAAACAACAGAGGAGGAGUGCAGCGGCUCAGGGCCAGAACAAACAGAGUAGCAUCUUAUGUCUCUUAGAAAACAUCAUAGUAUAGCCUUUGGUAUGAAAAAACGCCAUCAUAUACAUCGUAUAUUGUACAAAAAACAAGUCAAAGCAAAGAGACAUACAUUGUAGAAUUGUAGUAAUUGUGGGCUGACUGAUUUACUGAUUAUCAGUAUUUUAUUUUUUACUGAUUUACGGUAAUAAAUACAUUUAAAAAUGG